rnacentral:sRNA from 1 species
CCUUGAGGCGAAUGAUGAUAUAUUAUGGGAAUAUGAUGGUCUUCUUGAUGCUUAUCAAGG